UGUGAUGUCGGUGAGGAGAUGGAUUCGAGAUAAUAGAUAAGACAAGUGAGUUUGUAAACCGUGAGAGCACCAAUGGUGUAGGCAAACCGUGAGGUAAUCAAUCAGUUUCUUCUCACGUGCUGGUACAUGAGAAAAUGUUUGAUUCCAUGGGAUCAGGUUGUUAGCUUAAGUACCAAAAGUAGAAUGGAAGUUUCUUCGUGUUCUCACAUUGCGCAUGCUGAUGCUUAUUGCUUUAUGCCACUGGACACCUCAGAGAAUCAGAGUAUAAGAGGGAAUACAGAUCUUUUCCCUGGCAACAUGAAGCGACCGCCCCCGUACAGGGUUCGAUCUCUG
rnacentral:lncRNA from 1 species